rnacentral:rRNA from 1 species
UAAAUUUGGAGAGUUUGAUCCUGGCUCAGAACGAACGCUGGCGGCGCGCUUAACACAUGCAAGUCGAACGGUCCCGAUAAAGCCGUAAGGUGAUAUCGGGGUAGUGGCAAACGGGUGAGUAAUACGUGGAUAAUCUACCUUUGAGUGGGGGAUAACUCUACGAAAGUGGAGCUAAUACCGCGUAAGACUACAGAAUCGCAUGAUUCAGUAGUAAAAGGCUUCGGUUUACCGGAGUCGCUUAAGGAUGAGUCCGCGCCUGAUUAGCUAGUUGGUAAGGUAAUAGCUUACCAAGGCAACGAUCAGUAGCCGGCCUGAAAGGGUGUUCGGCCACAUUGGAAUUGAGAUACGGUCCAGACUCCUACGGGAGGCAGCAGUGGGGAAUAUUGCGCAAUGGGGGAAACCCUGACGCAGUGACGCCGCGUGAACGAUGAAGUCCUU